CUCUUCGGAGUGUAAACCACUGUUGACCCGGGACGAACAGCUCGACUUUCUCGAGCCUGACGGUACCGGGUGAGGAAGCACCGGCUAACUCCGUGC
rnacentral:rRNA from 1 species